rnacentral:rRNA from 1 species
AUUGAACGCUAGCGGGAUGCCUUACACAUGCAAGUCGAACGAGUGGCGAACGGGUGAGUAAUGUAUCGGAACGUGCCCAGUAGCGGGGGAUAACUACGCGAAAGCGUAGCUAAUACCGCAUACCAUCGGAUGUGCCCAGAUGGGAUUAGCUAGUAGGUGGGGUAAUGGCUCACCUAGGCGACGAUCCCUAGCUUGUCUGUGAGGAUGACCAGCCAGACGGGAACUAAUGCACAGUCCAGACUCCACCGGGAGGCAGCAGUGGGGAAUAUUGCGCAAUGGGCGCAAGCCUGAUGCAGCCAUGCCGCGUGUAUGGAGAAGGCCUUCGGGUUGUAAAGUACUUUCAGCGAUGAGGCGUUACUCGCAGAAGAAGCACCGGCUAACUCCGUACCAGCAGCCGCGGUAAUAC